AACGAACGCUGGCGGCAUGCCUAACACAUGCAAGUCGAACGAGACCUUCGGGUCUAGUGGCGCACGGGUGCGUAACACGUGGGAAUCUGCCCUUUGCUUCGGAAUAACAGUUAGAAAUGACUGCUAAUACCGGAUGAUGUCGAAAGACCAAAGAUUUAUCUGCUAAGGAUCAACAAAAUUUUAUGUAGGGUGGGGGUGGGGUAAAGGCCUACCAAGCCGACGAUCCUUAGCUGGUCUGAGAGGAUGAUCAGCCACACUGGGACUGAGACACGGCCCAGACUCCUACGGGAGGCAGCAGUGGGGAAUAUUGGACAAUGGGCGAAAGCCUGAUCCAGCAAUGCCGCGUGAGUGAUGAAGGCCUUAGGGUUGUAAAGCUCUUUUACCAGGGAUGAUAAUGACAGUACCUGGAGAAUAAGCUCCGGCUAACUCCGUGCCAGCCGCCGCCGUAAAAC
rnacentral:rRNA from 1 species